rnacentral:lncRNA from 1 species
GGACAUUGAGAUAGCCAAUAAAAAGAAGUUGGCUAAGGAGCAGCUGCUGAAAGAUUUGGAGAAAGCCAAGUUAGAAACUAAGCCCAUUGACGAGAUCCUUGCUUGAAAAUGUCAUUUGCUGUCAAGAAUUUAUGUGCUGGCCGUCUUUUACUCUGUCUGAUCAUGUUUUUCAUUGUGUCUGUUUAGUUUGAUGGUGAAAAUGUGUUGAGUCUGUGGGUUAUCUAAGAGUAAACCUCGCUUCUUAUAGAAAAAAAAGAAGAAAUUUCUCCACCACCAUGGAAGUCUUCAAUUUGUUGUCCAGGGACAGGGUUCUUUUGUUCUAAAAUAUCAUUCAGAGCUUUUAGCUGUAUCAUGGAAUGGAAUUAUGAAAAUAGUCCUUUAACAUUCUUCAUUCAAUAAAAUGAGAGCUGUAUCAUUGUAUGUCUGAAAACUAAAUCCUUUCUUCUCUCCAAGCAUUGAAAUAUAAGGAUCCAGCCUCUGGGCUUGAGGCCCAAUAGUCUAGCUGCACCUCCGAGAGACAGCAUUUCCUCGCCAGGAGACCAAGCUGUAAUUUGAGGAGUACAUCCCACUGGAUCACGGAAAUCAAGCUUAAAAAGGAGGUGCCACAUGCAAUUAUCUGGUGUCAAGUUGAAUGGGAUGAUGUUAGUCAAUAUUACAUCUAAUUUCCACUAAUUAAAGGACCAAAAUGCAAGUUUAUUAAAUAAAACGCAUCACUUUAGAAACUUGUCCUCUUAGAAAUUAGUUCAUUGAUCGUCAUCAACAAUACACAGCUCACCCAGCCCAAGAAUUAAAAGGAUGAUUUUUGCAUUGUUUAUUGUCAAUUUAGACCAUUCUUUCUAAGUAAUGCAAAUUAUAGGUGGCGAGUAUAAACAAAUCUACCUACAUGAUUCAAAGUUGUGUGAGUAACUUUCAACUCUAAAAUAAAGGAUUUCAUCUUCUUCCUUUAGUUUAUCUCUGCAACAAGAAAAUACACACACAAUCCCAUAAAUAAUAAUAAAAAAAACUUAUUUUGUGGUGUUCGACUUGUUCAAACCUAGAAUUACGAGUCCUUUGACCUCUCCUUACUGUGCAAUCAGCAAGUUUAUUAUUGGGUUUGAUGGUGGCUAUGAGAGUAUAUGUUUAAUUUCUCUUUUACAAGUGAUCCAAUAUUGAAAGAGUUUUUAUGGAAAUAUAUUUGUCUUUAUUAAAGAAAUAGGGUUAGUGAGGCCAGGAAAAAGGAAAGAUGAUAUACUUCAUUUUCUCAUUAAUUUCCAUUUUUCUUCAAUAUCUCUCUUUUUUUUAAUUUUUAUCGUCUCUCUAAAAUAAUAUUUAUAAUGCAUUUUCCAAUUCUUAAACGUACAUAUGCAUUCAUUCAUUUUCCUAUCCGUGUGUGGGUGUAAGAAAUUCACUUUCUCAUCCACAUUCUCGCCUCCAAACUAAAAGCAAUUACAAACAAGAUAGCAAAACAACUCCAUCACGUCCCUUUUCACUUAAAUGGAUUCCAUAGAAGACAUUUGCUACUGCAAAUAGAAUCAAAAUAUUCCCCACACAUUGUAGCGGUAUCAAUUCCUAAACUUUCCUACCUUUGACGACUUGUCUUGUCGAGUAAAAAAUAUCAUCUUUUAUAUAUAAAAAAAAUCAUAAGGGAUAGAUUAAUUGAUCAGGUUUUAAGUUUACUAUCUAAUAAUCACGAGUUUAAGUCCUCUCAGGGCUAUUAGAGACUUAUAUAAUCGUUAACUUUAAAAUCCAUAAAAUUAAUCGAGAUACGUAUAAGAUAAUUUAAACACACCCACGUUAAUAGAAAAAAAAAAUACAAGUCACAAUCUUAGAGAGAGAGAGAGAGAGAGAGAAUAUUCAGUUAACCCUUUUUCCUUUUCUAACAAAUAAAAGGUAUAAAUUUGGAAUUUAACAACUCGUAUCAAUUGAAUUGCAUAAUCGAGUAAUUAUGUAACGAGAUUUUCCUGACAUGAAGGCAUCCAAGAACAAGGAAGACCCCAAAACCCUUGUGGGUAGACACAUCAGCACCAAGACGAUGUUGAAGGACGAGUCCGCAGAUGAAAACAGCUAUACCUAGUAAAAAUCCCAAUGAUCGAAUACAAGUAUGGACAUAGAACCACAUAGGAUCUCAUUUCCUGAAUUAGCAAGCAAUUAUUGCUCCGUUUAUAAUCAAAAUACCCCAGCCAGCCAUGUUCAAUGCUCCAUGGCUCUUCCUUAAUCUUGACUGUGGGAGUGAGGUUUUCUAUUUUACCGAAAAAGUUUAUUAUGUAAGUCUAUAUAUAUGGUCUUAAAAAGAAACGGAAUAAAAUCCAAAUAUAUAAAUAAAAAUUAUACCUUCAUUAUUGUAUUUUUAUUUUGUUUAAGAUUCGUAACUAGGUUUGUAAUUAGCAACGCUUGAUUUGUUUGUUUUUUCUUUCUUUUUUUCACAGGUUUCUUUGCAUGAAUCAUUCGUGGCAGAGCAUUCAGCUGGAAAAAAAAAGUGCACUUCGACUCUUUUUAGGGUUGUGUUUGCACUAGAAUUUUAAUAAUAUUUGAAUGUUUUAUUUAAAAUUAUUUUUAUUUUUUUUAGUUUGUUUUGAUGGGCAUACAAAAAUUAUUUGUAAAAAAUAAAAAAUUAUAUAUUAUUUAGAUGUAUUUUUUUUUAGUAAGUACUUAAUCUUGAAACAAGAGGGAUAGAGAAAACGAAAAAUUAUUAUAUUUUCAAUAUUGAGAGAUUGUGAAAAUUAAGAGUAUACAAAUAUCCUCUUCAAUGUCUAUCUAGAAGGAAGAGGGAUAAAGAAAACGAAAAAUUAAAAGUUUGGUAACUAGGAACAACCUCACUCCCUCACGAGCCAAGGAGCUAAGGAGAGGUAGUUGGCACAUGCCAACAUCCCCUAUUAUAUAUGCACACGAACCAUAGCUACUCUCUAACCAGGGUAGUUAAAUAACAGCAUUUGCAUCCCCAUUUUUUGCUUUUAUAAGAGCUAGGACAAAAAGACAAGAACUCAAGUCUUCGACCUAAAAUCAAGCCGGCAACGAUGGCCCCUUCUACCCUCACAGCUCUGGCAGAAGAGAAAACCCUCCAAGCAAGCUUUGUUCGCGACGAAGAUGAACGUCCGAAGGUGGCUUAUAACCACUUCAGCAAUGAAAUCCCUGUCAUUUCAAUAGCUGGGAUUGAUGAUGGUGGUGAAAAGAGAGCUGAAAUAUGCAACAAGAUCGUCGAGGCAUGCGAGGACUGGGGAGUUUUUCAAAUUGUUGAUCAUGGCGUUGAUGCUAAGCUGGUGUCUGAAAUGACAACUCUUGCUAAAGAGUUUUUUGCUUUGCCGCCGGAAGAGAAGCUUCGGUUUGAUAUGUCUGGUGGCAAAAAGGGUGGCUUCAUUGUCUCCAGCCAUUUACAGGUAUAACUUCUUUUACGUUUUGUUUUCUGAAUUUAACAAUUACGCAGACCUUUAUUGUUAAAUUUCCUAUCGGACUGAUCUUUUUCCAAAUGAAAAAUACAUGUUUCCAACUCAAAAAUAUACCAUGUGCCCGGCUAGCUAGCAAGCAAAUCAAUCAAACUUCUGUGAAAUAGUUCAACAAUUUUUUUGAGUUUUUUUUAUUAUAUAAUCUUGAUUAGAAACUUAAAGGAAAAAUUAAUUCAGUUUGGUUUCGGAUUCUUAGAAACUGAAAAAAAACAAAACCAUGAAUUAUUAGGCUUGGCACGACAGAAUUGACUGAAGAGCAAUACCUAAUAUAUCCAGUUUUGCUAGUAAAUCAUUUCUUGAUUACGCAAGAUCAAGAAAGCCACUAUUUUGGUUCAGGAAUUUCUCUUCCCCGCAAUAUGAAUGUGUAUUCUGUCCUUACAGACGAAAUUAUACGCUAAGAAGGUCUAUGAAAGUGUAGUAGAGGUUGCUUUUUUAAUAGUUUUUCGUGCCGAAAAGCAUGCUAAUAAUGUUUUUUUAUUUUUAAAAAAUUAUUUUUAAUAUCAACACAUCAAAACGAUUCAAAAAGUACAAACCGCACUUAAUUUUAACAAAAAAUAAAUUUAAAAUUUUUUAAAAAACAAGUUCAACAGCAAUAUCAAACGAACACUAAGAUUACAAGGUCAACAAGGGAAUAGUUGUAAUUUAACUGACUACUAUCAGCACACAUGGUGGAGCUAAGACUUUUAUUCUUGUAUGGUCUAAACUAAUCAUGACUUCUUGACAUACACGCACAUCACUAUAUAUAUAUAUAUAUUGGUUUUUUUUCUUCUUAAUGAGAUAGAGUGAGUGAAUUAAAAGUACAAUGCCUCACUGUAGGAAUCAACAAGGACUGAAAAGGAAAAAAAUUAGCUAUGAACAGUGACUUGAACAUGAAAAAUGAGAAAAGGGUCGUCGUCGGCCACUGCUUCAUAACAACAGUAAUAGGCCAAUCUAUUUUAGUUCUUUGUAAUAUCAUCAAGUACUUGAUGCUUUGAAGAUAGUAGACAGUACUAAUUUUAAAUCGAUUUCCUGAUUUAUGAUCUUAUAAAACAGGGAGAGGCAGUUCAAGACUGGCGUGAAAUAGUGACCUUCUUCUCAUACCCGAUUCGCACCAGAGACUAUUCAAGGUGGCCUGACAAGCCAGAGGCAUGGAAAGCAGUGACCGAGGAAUACAGUAAGAAGCUAAUGGAACUUGCUUGCAAGCUUCUUGGGGUCUUGUCAGAGGCCAUGGGAUUAGAAACAGAGGCCUUGACUAAGGCUUGUGUUGACAUGGACCAAAAGGUGGUGGUCAAUUUCUAUCCAAAAUGUCCACAACCAGACCUUACACUUGGACUCAAACGCCAUACCGAUCCCGGCACCAUCACCCUCUUGCUCCAGGACACCGUUGGAGGUCUUCAGGCCACUAGAGAUAACGGAAAGACUUGGAUCACCGUUCAACCUGUUGAAGGUGCUUUUGUGGUCAAUCUCGGAGACCAUGGUCAUGUGAGUAUGAAACUAAAAUAUUUCUUGUUAAAUACCAGAACUGCUAACCGUAAUUAAUUGUACUAAAACUAAAUGGUAUGUUUGCGAGGCAGUAUCUGAGCAAUGGAAGAUUCAGGAACGCAGACCACCAAGCUGUGGUGAACUCAAACUCUAGCAGGUUGUCCAUAGCCACAUUCCAGAACCCAGCACCAGAUGCUACAGUGUACCCUCUCAAGAUUAGAGAGGGAGAGAAGUCGGUGCUAGAUGAGCCAAUAACAUUUGCUGAGAUGUACAGGAGGAAGAUGAGCAAGGACAUUGAGAUAGCCAAUAAAAAGAAGUUGGCUAAGGAGCAGCUGCUGAAAGAUUUGGAGAAUGCCAAGUUAGAAACUAAGCCCAUUGACGAGAUCCUUGCUUGAAAAUGUCAUUGUUGUCAAGAAUUUAUGUGUUGGCCGUCUUUUACUCUGUCUGAUCAUGUUUUUCUUUGUGUCUGUUUAGUUUGAUGGUGAAAAUGUGUUGAGUCUGUGGGUUAUCUAAGAGUAAACCUUGCUUCUUAUAGGAAAUAAAAAGAAGAAAAAGAAUUCUCCACCACCUUGGAAGUCUUUAAUUUGUUGCCCAGGGACAGGGUUCUUUUUUCUAAAAUAUCUUUCAGAGCUUUUAGCUGUAUAAUGGAAUUAUGAAAAUAGUCCUUUUACAUUCUUCAUUCAAUAAAAUCUCAGACAGGGUUCUGCUUUUUCUUAGUUUCAUCAGGAGCAACUUUUGUGGCACCAGGCCUAGCUCACCAUUCAGACAUUGGCCUUACCAAAUUUAUGCCCAAUUUGGAUACCAAAGAUAUUUCAUGUGAUACAUGUCAUUUGUCUAAGUUUACUAGACUUCCUUUUAUGCCUUUAUUGUCGCAAAUAAGAUGUUUGAUAUUGUUUAUUAUGAUAUUUGGGGACCAACUAUUGAAUCUUUUUAUGGUUAUAAAUAUUUUAUUUUUUUUGUUGAUGACUUAUCUCAUGUUACUUGGAUUUAUCUUUUAAAAUUCAAGAGUGAUGUUUUGCAUGUUAUUUGAAAUUUUAAAUGCUAGUCAUGACUCAAUUUUCUAAAAAAAUAAAAAUUCUCUAAUCUGAUAAUGACACUGAAUACAUAAUAAAAAAUAUGAUGCAAUAUCUAGCUUCUCAUGGCAUUUAAUAUCGGUCAAGUUGUAUUGGCACAUUUCAAAAAAAUAAGGUAGCUGAGUGUAAAAAUAGAGACCUAUUAAAAAAAACUAGAGCCUUAAUAAUACAAAUGAUGUUCCCAAAUUGUUUUGGUCUCACUAAGUGUUAUUUGUUGCAUAUCUAAUCAAUCGGCUACCUAGCCGAGUGUUACAUUUUAGCCGAGUGUUACAUUUUAAAUCACCUCUUGAAAUCUUAUAGAAAUAACCACUUAAUUUAUCUAAUUUGUGAGUGUUUGGGUACACUUAUUUUGUUCGUAUACAAACUUCACAUCAGGACAACCUUCAUUCAUGGGUUGCUAAGUAUGUUUUAUUAUAAUACUCCUCAACACAAAAAGGGGUAUAUAUGCUAUCAUCUCCCUCUAAAAAGAUUGUUUAUAUAAAGAAACGUAUGAUUUGAAGAAAGUUCUUUAUACUUUAAAAACAUAAAUCAACAAGAAGGCUUGACAAACUUGUUUCCUCUACCUAAUGCAGCUUUUACAUACUUGGCUUCAUCUUCAGAAACACUACCUGCUGUAGAUGACACUUCUUCCUUUCCUGAUGGCAUGACUAUUAAUGAAGGGAAUGUCAGUCAUGUUAGUACAUACUCUGAACACAACCCUAUAUAUUCAAAAGCUAAUGACAAUAGCAAUCAUAAUAGGCAUUUGUCCAUCAUAGUUGUAGAUAUGCCUUCUGAUUCAAGAGUUGUCAUUUCUUUUAUCUCGGACUCUGAGGGUGAUUCUGCUAAUCAGUCUUUUCUAUAACACCCCUUAUCAUUCCUAUUAUCAUGGAUUCUAAAGGUGAUUCUACUAAUCAAUCUCCUCUGCCGCAGCCACGUAGGAAUCCAAACCCUCACUGUGUUCCUCUUACAAAAUUACAAGACUUUGUCACACAUACAAUAAGACAUCCUAUCUUUAAUUACCUUACAUAUCAACAUCUCUCAGCUGAACAUACUGCCUUUUCUUAUUGCUAUCUUUGAUGUGCAUAAACCAUGACAUUUUCAAGAGGCAAAUUCACAGGAUGAAUGGUGGCAGGCUAUACAUGAUAAGCUACAAGCUCUUGAUCAAAAUAAAACCUAGAGUUAUAAGGUCAAACUUCCUAAAGAUGGGUUUAUUGACAUAUACAAAGCAUGUCUUAUGGCUCAUGGCUAUACUCAAACUUUUAGCGUAGAUUAUAAGGAAACUUUCGCACACAUUGCAAAAAGGAACAUUAUUCAUGUUUUGCUCUUAAUGGUUAUAAAUAAUAUAUGGUUGAUGUAUCAAAUGGAUGUUAAGAAUGCUUUCUUGCUUAGAAACCUUGAAGAAGAAGUCUGCAUUAAGUUGCCCCUCAUCACCCUUAAAGUUCAGAGUUCAAACCCUAACUUAGUGUGUCAGCUUCACAAAUCUAUUUAUGGGCUGAAGCAAUCUCCACGUGCUUGGCAUGCACAAUUAAGUGUUGUUCUUGGAGACAUUGGCUUCAAACAAAGUAAUGCAGACUCCUUAUUUGUUCAUUUUGGACUAAAGGUCAAAUUAAUGGUUCUUAUAUAUGUUGAUGACCUUAUUAUUAUGGGAAAUGAUGGUAAAGCAAUAUCUCACCUCAAGACUACUCUGCAACAAUGUUUUUCCAUUAAAGAUCUUGGCAGUUUGAAGUAUUUUCUUGGGAUUGAAAUGGUUGUUUCUCACAAAUGGCAAUUCCUUAAUCAAUGCAAGUAUGUUCUUAAUUUUUUUAAGGAUGCCAAAAUUAUGGAUGUCAAACUUGUCCCUACUCCAUUGGAUAGUAAAUUGAAGCUUGAAACAGCUAGUGAACCUCUUUGUUUUAUUAAUUACUAUCAAUAUCUUGUUGGUAGACUCAUUUAUCUUACUAUUACACGAUCUGAUAACACCUGCGUAAUGAGCCUUGUUAGUCAAUUCGUGCAUGUUCCUACAAUCUUUGACUUUAGCAUUCUUAAGUGAAUUUUGUGCCAUUUAAAGGGUUUUGUUGGUCGUGGGAUUGUUAUGACUAAUCAUGAUCAUACUCAAAUUAUUGGAUAUAGUGAUUCGGAUUGGGUUGGCAAUGUUAUUAAUCACAAAUCAAUCACAAAUCAAUCACUAGCUUCUACAUGUUUGUUGGUAGUAAUCCUGUCUCCUGGCGUACUAAAAAGCAGCAUGUUAUUGCAUGUUCUAGUGCUGAAGUUGAGUAUCAUGCGAUGGCAUCCGUAGCUUAUGAAUUAAUUUGGCCUAAAGGUCUUAUGUCAGAUCUAGGAUUUUCUAGCAGUAUUCCAAUGAUUUUGUUUUGUAAUAAUCAAGUACUAUACAUAUUGCAACUAAUCUUAUGUUUCAUGAAAGAAUUAAACACAUUAGAGUUUAUUGUCAUUUUAUUUGUAAACAAGUUCAGUAAUAGAUUAUAAAACCAUGUUAAACCCACAGUCACAAUCAACUAGUUGAUGUGUUUACAAAGAUCCUGACUUUAGCUUACUUUUAUCGGUUAAUAUCCAAGCUUGGCUCAAUCAAUCCCAUUGAUCCAAUCAAUCCCAUUGAUCUAGCUUGAGGGGGAGUACUGAAAGAAACCGACCAAGAUGGAUUCCUACUACAACACAUAUUGCAGAGUUUGAUUUCAACACAGCUUGCAGAGUUUGAUUCCUACUAUAAUGUUGCCAACCCUCGGUAUUCAUAUCAUGAUUGCUCUGUAAACAAUUGAUAGGAUAACUAUUAAUAUACAUAGAUUCUGAUAUGCCAAGAUUAUAGGAGAAUUAAUAGCCAUCAUCCUCCUUGUUGUUGUCUCUAAUUUUGUAUAUAUCUUCGCUAUUGUAACAGAUAAAAACAUGAAAUAAGAUUCUCCUUUCUCUUUUGUUUCUCUAACCUGAUAUUAGAGAUAUGCUUAUUUACCAAAAAAAAAAAAAAAACAAUCAUUCAUGAGAUGCUUUUGAUAUUUUAUUUUGUAAAUAGAUCGUGAUUGAGUGAACCCAACUCUAGUUAUACAUUAAGAUUUUGCACAUAUAAAUUUAAAAAUUAAUAAAUAAAUAAAAAUUCAAAUCACCAAAUAAUAUGCUGACCUUUUCUUUUGUUAGAUUAUAGAAUAAAACAUCCAAGUGUGUGGUUUCAUUCGAUUCAAUGAGAACUCUUAUCCUUUCCUUUUCUUUCAUAAAAAGUAAUUCUGAUAUAACUAUAAAAUAAUAGUGUUGUAAUUUUUAUUUUAAAAAAAUUAGGAUUAAAUAUUUAACAUAUAACUUUCCUAAGUACUAUACAAAAAUAAUGAGAGCAAUAGGAAUUUAAAUAUUUAUAUAAGUGGGUCAAGAAUUCCUGUCACUCUUACCCUUUUCUUUUUUAUUUUUUACAAUCACGAUCUUUACAUUAUCAGAACAAUUUGCAUGUCUGAAAACUAAAUCCUUUCUUCUCUCCUAUCACUGAAAUAUAAGAUUAUUAUCUUCCAUAAAUUACUUUUUUCAAUACAAAUAAACACAGUAACCUUCCUGCUGAAUCGAGUCAUGAAAAAAAAAUAUAAGAUCUCUUUUUCUUUUUGGUUGCCUAGACUGAAGCUCGAGUCAUGAAAGUUGAAUCGACAAAGUCUGGCAGCUUGACAGCGUCUUCGUUUUCACGUGCCAUCCUGGGAGGCACCCUUCCGAUUUGACUGUUUGGUAACGUUAGACCCCUAAAAUUGAACAGAUUUCUUGAUCGCAGAUUGUGACCCAGCCCAGUUGGCCAUUUCUAGCCAUGGGUUCGCCGGAUGGCACCCUUCUGAUUUUCUCUUCUUUUUAGUUUUACUUGUUUAUCUAUAUUUUUUCUACUUCGAGACAAGGGAUCACACGAGUUCUCUGUCCUUACUGCGCAAUCAAGGAAUUUAAUUUUGGGUUUGAUGGUGGUCAUGGGAAUAUUUUUUUAAUUUCUCUUUUACAAUAUUGAAAGAGUUUCUAUGGAAAUAUAUUUGUCUUUCUUAAGGAAAUAGGGCUAGAGAGGCCAGAAAAAAGGAAAGAUGAUAUACUUCAUUUUCUCAUUAAUUUCCACUUUUUCUUCCAUCCUGACAAAGCCACUAUCUCCAGCUCGAUUCAACUAUCUCCCCUGUGUAGCUUGACUCGCUCGGGGAUGUUUGGUAAUGUAGCUGAGGGUGAAUCUCACCCGCAGCAACAAAUAUUUUUAUUUGGUUAAGGAAAAAUGGUGGUUUAUGCUGGUGGGACCCAUUAAUUUUGCAGUUGUAUAGCAGGUUUUGUAGAAGCAGCAUUUUAUUGCUUCUCAUGGAGGAGGAAUCACUAAACAGUGGAGCAUGACUCUACUGUUCACGUGAACAGUGGAGACAUUCUUCAUUGUUCCGGUCGGAUCAAGUCCGGUUUAAAGUUAAAAAUACAUUGAACCGGAUUCGACUCGACAAAAUAAAAAAAAUAUAUAUUUUUUUAUUUUUAAUUAUGUUUUAUUUGAAAAACUAGUGUUAAAUAUUAUUCAAUAACACUACAUAAAUUAGACGGAGAUCACUUGAUAACAUAGUAUUUGCAGAAUUUGAUUGCAAUUCUAAUUUUGUUCCUGAUUAUAUUUUACCUGAUAUUGUUGCGCUCUUAAAAAAUUUGUGAAAACUGUAGUCCUUGUUGGAUGUAUUUCAUACAUGAUAGAAUUGAAGAUAAUUUAAUGGAACAAUACAGAAUAUUUAAUAUUAAGUGUUAUUUAUUUCAUGAUGUAAUAGUAAUAAUUAAAUCUACAUUAUUUAAAUUAAAAACCAUCAAAAUAUAUAUAUAUAUAUAUAUAAUCUCAAUUUGAAAAGCAUUUUUUUAACCAAACACAUUAAAUUACUUUUUGCUCAACCUCAAUUACAACCACAGUUUUAAGCAAACAUAUAUUUUUUCAAGUCAACCUCAACUAAAAGUACUUUUUAUAAAAUAAUUUUUUUCAAAUCCCAACUACAAUAGCUACCACAAUAUCAAACACACUAGAAGCUCUUUGGAAACGCGGUUCAAAGUUUUUAAAAAAUUCAAAAAAAAAAUUGUAUGUUUUUGAUAGCUUUGAUGCGCUGAUUUCAAAAUUAAUUUUUUAAAAAUAAAAAAAUAUAUAUCAUUUUGAUGUAUUUCGACACGAAAAGCAUUUUAAUGUAUUUUUUCGACACAAAAAGCAUUUAAAAAAAAACAUCGUUUUGAUGUAUUUCGACACGAAAAAUAUUUAAAAAAAAACAUCAUUUUAAUAGUGUUUUAAAAUACAUUAUCAAAACAAUCAAAUAUUGAUUUUUUUCAAUCACCUGGAAUAUUAUACUUCAGGGUACACAGGAAUCCCUUAUAUAUUAUAGGUAAGUUAGACAAUCAAGCAUUAUAAUCAUUAUUAUCAGAUGCUGAAUUUUUAGCUAUGGUCUGAAAAAAUUGGUUCUUUAUUUUUUACAUGAUUUUUAAAUAUUAUUAUCAAUUUUUUUAAAAAAUACCUACGAGUCUGUCUUCUAUAUUUUUAGCUAUUGUCUGACCAGGUCGUCAAAGAAUUCACUGAUGCUGAAUUUUCAGAGAAUGCUAGCGAAGUAUUAUUGGAUGAAUCGCUUUCGUUUGGACAAAAAAGAAAAGAAAAGAAAAGGUCUUAGUUUAUGUAACUGGCUAGUCUCAAGUCUUUUUAUGGACUCGGUCAGUGUUUGAUUUUCUUCCAUAAUUUCGCUUUCCUUUCAUGUCAUGUCAGUUGGGAGUGCAAGCCCUCCACAAAAGUUUUGCCCUAUUAAUAUAUUGAUUUUUGGAUUUAGUCAAAUUUUAUAUUUUUGGUAAUUAUUCAAUUUACUAAUAUAAGUACUUUUUACUGCCUACACACGGAUAGGAAAACUUUUUUCAUAUAUAAUUAACUUAAAGUAAUGAAAAUUUUGGUUUGCUUUGCUAUAAAAAAAAUAAAUAUCUAUAUUAAAAUAUUUUUUAUUCAUAAAUGUAUCAAAAUAAUAUUUUUUAUUUUAAAAAAAAUUAUUUUUAAUAUUAAUAUAUUAAAAUAAAUUAAAAAUAUAAAAAAAUUACAAACCUAGUAACGAACCUUAAACAAAAUAAUAAUACAAUAAUGAAGGUAUAAUUUUUAUUUAUGUAUUCGGAUUUUAUUCUGAUUCUCUGUAACAUUAUAUAUAUUUAUAUAAUAAACUUUUCCGUAAAAUAGAUCAAAUCAAUCAUGAUUAAAAUGACCAUCUGUUUCAAAAACUCCAGAUGCAAAUUUUUUUUCAUAUAUUAAGCAUUUUGUUUUUGUUUUUUUAACAUGGAAUACAAGAUACAUCACUGUUUCUACUAUUUAUUAAGCUUAUUUUUCAUCAAUAAUCUCUUAAAUUUGUAUGUUAUCACAACAACUAUAUUGUGUAUGGUGUGUUUAAGAUUUUCAUGUGUAAUAAGUGUAACAAGUCAGAAAAUUUUAUAAUGUAUAAUAAAUAAUUAGUGAUAUCUUAUUACUUACUAAAUUCAAUUUAAAAAGAAGAAGAAGAAAAACACCAUACAAAUUACUCCUACCAAGUUUCAUGAUCAACAUGCUUCCAUCUAGUAUAAAAAACUGAUUUUAGACAGGGAUAAGUAAAAAAUUGAAAAAUCGAUUAAACCAAAAAACAAAAAAAAAUCGAAAUAACCGAACUGUAAAAAAAUUAAUUAAAUCGAUUAAAAUUUUAAAAAAAAACCGACUAGUUUGGUUCGGUUUUAUAAGUCUGAAACAAAAAAAACCGAACCAAACUCUAACUGGAAAAAAACUGAGCCAAAAAAAAAAACCAAGCCAAACUGGUUUGAACCGGGUUUUGUCCUUAAAAAACCGAACCGAAUCGAAACCGGUCGGUUUGAAUUGGUUUUGAUUUUUUAAUUAAAAAAAAUCGGUUUGAUUACUUUUUUUUUUAUAAAAACCAAACCAAACAAAAAAUAAUCACCCCUAGUUUUAGAAACCAAAUUAAGAAUUGUUGUAUAGGCUGGAGUCCUAUAUAAGAUUAUAUUUUUAUAUUAUUUGAUCUCUUAUUCAUAAUGCAAAACGUGCUUAAAUCAACUUUUAAGAUGGAUUAGUAUCUCUUUUCUAUAUUAGAGUAUAAUAUGGUAAUCAACUAUAUAUUAUGAUAGCUUAUUAUUCUCUCUAAAUUUUCAGUCAAGGCCCCCGUGGAAUUUUAUUUUCUUUUCUAAUGUCCUAAUAAUAGCUGAAUCAAAAUCCGAAAAAUCAAACAAGCUCCUUAAAACCAUAUUCAUAUCUUGAUAAGAAUGUCCCAAUAUAUAUGUAGUGGAGAAAAUUCAUCCUUCCAAAUCAAAUAAUAGCAUCACAGUGAAAGCGUAUAUAUAACCUGUUUGUUUUUAUAUUUUAAAAUAUAUUUUUAAAAAUAUAAAUUAUUUAUUUAAUUUGUUUUUAUUUUAAAUUAUUUUUAUGUUUUUAUAUUGUUUUGAUAUGCUAAUGUUAAAAAUAAAUUUAUAUAUAUAUAUAUAUUAUUUCAAUACAUUUCUAAACAAAAAACACAACUACCUAUAAUAUGUUCAUUAUAACUAAAGCUAAAAGUUUUGGGGAAAACAUUAUUUUCCCACACCCGUUAGCACUAUGAAUUACUGCAAUUUGUUUUUCAUUUUAAUCUUUCUUUUUUUGGUUAUUGAUUUUUUUUUAAUUUAGUCAUUAUAUAAUAUAUUUAUGGGAUUUAGAGUUAAUAAUUUAUUUUAAUUUUUUUUUAUAUGGUUAUUGCAAUAUCAAUAAAUAUCAUUGAUAUUAGAAAAAUAUCUCGAGGUAUGGUCUAUUUUUUUUUUAAAAAAUAGUUAAAUAAAAAAUAAUUUCAAGAAACUAGAUUGAUAAACUUUAUGGAGUCAAUGACCCAGUUUGCGAGUUUGACGAGGUAAUCCUGGUUGCCUUGGUUUGUGGGUUUGGCAAGUAUUUUUUUUUUUGUAAUUAAACUUUAUUAUGUGAUUGUCUAUUCUUCUUUUUAUCAUAUAGUUAAAAAAAAAUCAUAAAAAAACAUGUUAUUAAAUUUUAGAAAGUUCAUGGGCCUGUUGACGAGUAUGAUGACUUUGACUCUCUUUUUUUUUCUUUUUUUAUAAAUUUAUUUUUUUUAUUUCAUAAUUUGAUAUUGAAUUGAUUGAGAAUCGAGUUUAAUAAUUUAUUUCAUUUUACUUUCUAUGAGGUUAUCAUAAUAUUUUUUUAAGUUUCAGUAUUGGUUUGACUCAAUUUUACGAUCUAUAUUUAUUAUCAUACAAUUAAAUAAAACAAUAGUUUAAAAAACAAAACAAGUUAUUAAUCUCAAUUUACAAGUUUGAUGUGUUAACCUGGAUUACUCAAUUCACAGGUUUAACGAGUUUAUUCAUCUAACCUGAUAUGUUUUUUUUUUUUUAGUUUUGGUCCUUUAAUCUUUUUUAUUUUUUUUAUUUUAAUCAUUUAAUAUUAGAUUGGUUGAAAAAUUAAAUUCAUAGUUUAUUUUUUCUACUUUCUAUAAGGUUACCACGAUCUCAAUAUAAAUAUUUUUUUAGAGUUGACACUUGAUUUUGAAGCAUCUAAUGUUAUUAUAAAAUUAAAAAAUUUUUUACAAAAACAACAAUAUUAUUAACUUACUGAAAUCCAUAAUUCAGGUCACAGGAUGACCAAUAUCAAUUCAAUUUGGCACCGUCUUAAUAUAUAUAAAAAAUUGUAUUUUACAUUUUUUUUAAGUUAUGUUAUGUUUUUACUAGUCAUUCAAGUUGUCUUUGGACUCAUUAAAUUGAAUAAUUCAUUUUGAAUAAGCUCUCACGUGGUUUUAUUCAUAACUCGAGUUAGACAAAGAGUUAGGUUGGUAGGUUUCAAGAUCAAACUGUUGUAUUGAAUUUAAUAAUAUUAUUAACAAAAUCUCUAUAUUUUUAAUAUAUAUUUUUUAAAAAAUUAAAAUAAUUCCCCACACAACUAAACGCGUGGGACAAUGCUAGUACAUGCUAUAGGAUGUUGGAUUAUAGAGAUAGCAACUUCCAAUGCUGAUAAAAACGAUAUGCUCCACAAUUUUGUACUUUCUGGAAAAAUAAAUCCCACGUGUUCCCAAUGGGACUGUUUCAUAUAGCAUAGGUUGUUUUUUAAGGAAAAAAGUUUAUAUUUAUUUUUAACAGUUUAUUUAUUAGUACAGAUUGUUUUUCAAAUAAUAUUUUGUGUUAUAAUAUAUAUUAAUAAUUUUUUAUUUUAAAAAAAUAUUUUUGACAUCAAAACAUUAAAAUAAUUUGAAAACAUUAAAAAUAUAUUAAUUUAAAAUUAAUAAAAAAAUAAAAAAAAUUCAAUUUUUUUUUAAAUAUUUUUGAAAUAAGAAAUAGUUACUAAGCUGCAAUGGUUCCUGUAGCCAUACCUGUAACAACUUGAUCUGACAGACUAACAGACAAGGAUUGUCACCAGUGGUCCACCUGUAAUUUGCUAACACGUUUAUAUGUUAGCCGGAGCACGCGGUUGGAUAAGAAUGUGCGUUCAUACUUGUGAGCUUCCAAAAACAGAAUUGAAAAAUGUGUAGAGACUUUUUAAAAGUUCAUUUAAAUUUCGGUGCUGUUGAUUGUGCCGGUUGUUUUUUUAUAUAAAAAAGAUAUUUUUUAAUAUUUAUUUCUUGAAAUCAAUAUAUAAAAACAAUAUAAAUAUAUAUUAAAAAAAAUAUGGUUGAAUUUAACAGCCGACAAGUUUGAAUUUGGGACACCAAGCCGAGUCUUAAAAAAUAGUGUUUAUUUUUUUUUCCAUGUACUAUGAUGAAUCUAUUAUGCCACCUCCCCUUCCCUUCCCUUCCCUUCCCUCGUUUCCAACAAGUGUUCAGACUCGUGGGCUUGUUGCCCUAUUAUUAUAUAUUUAAGGUCACAUGUUUAUUGCAUACAGGUUGUUGGUGAAAUAUACAGUUCCAUCUCCUUCCACAACUCUGCACUUUUUUUUUUUCUCAUGUGCUGGAAGAUAUCCGUCCUCGUGGCUGCAGAUACAGGAAUAGUAUCAAUUGCACAACCUUUUGACUUAUUUUUUUUAAAAUUAACAACUAUAUAAAUUUUUAGUAAUUUUAAAUUUUAAGACUCGAACUGAUAACCUUUAAGAAACAAAUCUAAAAUCUAAACAGUUAAAUUCAAUUGCUUUUUUUUUUUCUAAUAUGCUUGUGAUAAAGUUAUAAUUGCUACGUAAACAAUUAAAAAUAUAAUAGUCUAUUGCUUAAAUCUUUUUAAAUUGGGUGUUUAAUAUCAUAGCUUUAAAAUUUGAAUUAACUAGUAUGGCUAAGUACUGAUGUUUUUUUUUUAAGUUAUUUGUUUUUAAAUCUGAUAUAUAUUUUUUAAAAAAUAUCAAAAUAAUUUAAAAAUAUUAUAAAAAAAUUCAAUUUCUUUUUUAAAAAACUCUUAUCACCGCAAAAACCAAAAACCAAACGGACAAUAAUAGUUCUGUCGAGGUUACUUCUUUCCAGUUUCCGGGAGUACAUAUUCUGUUAUACCAGCAAGUAGCCUAUGUGCAACCUAUUCGAAGAUGGGCUUUCGUUGUCCUUUGGACAAGGACUGGUUUUUAUUCGUUUCUACAUGGUUAAUUUAUAAUUGCUAGGCUAGACUAGCUCAGAGCACACAGUAAUUUUUCUUCGUCAUAAAUGGAGGAUGCUGAAGUUAUGAGUCAAUAUUCCAACAAUAAUAUAUUUGAAAAGAUUGCAAAUAAGUUUUUGAACCAUAACACGAAAGUGGAUUUGACCGUGUUUUAUACGUCACCAACAAGCGAUCCAAUCAUAAACGAGAGAUUGAUGAAAAAUCUUUAAUUUCAACUUUAGCUUUUUUGGUCAAUGACUAGUUAUAAAAAAUAAUAAUUAACAAUCUUAUCAUUUAUGUUGGAUAUCAUACAAUCUAAUGAAUAGUUGUUGGUUGAAUUUCAUGGCUAGUGAUUAUCUUUUUCCUUAAUAAUUUUGAUACCGUUUGUUUUUUUGUUUGGAAAGAUUGUUUCUAUAUAAAAAAAAAUUACAUUAUUUUUUUAUAUAUUUUAAACUAUUUGAUAUAUUGAUGAUAUCAAGAAAUAAUAUUAAAAAAUAAAAAAUUAUUAUUUUAAUAUAUUUUCAAAAAAAUAUUGUAAAAAAAUAACUAUACACAACAUUUUCCCUAUAAAAUACAAAGGCUCGGAAUGAGGUAUGUCGAGCUUGUUUGGCAGUCUAAUUAUAGUUAUUUUUCAAAUAAUUUUUUGUGUUAAAAUACAUGUUAAUGAUGUUUUUUUAUUUUUAAAAAAUUAUUUUUGACAUCAACAUAUCAAAAUAAUUUAAAAAUAUUAAAAACAUAUUAAUUUAAAGUUAAUAAAAAAUAAAAAAAUUUAAUUUUUUAAAAAAAUACAUUUAAAAUAUAAAAAUAAACAGGUCAACCGUUAAUUACCUCUUGAUACUGCUUAAUAGUAGAAAAAAAAAGUGGCUGGAUCAAAUAAAAAAGAUAAAAUGCCAAUAAGAAAAUGCCAAGGCUGGAAACGAGGCAGGCAAUAUCCGGAGAUUUACCGUGUUUUUCUACAAAAUAUUUUUUAUUUAAAAUAAUUUUUUAUUUUAAAAUUAUUUUAAUAUAUUUUUAAAUAAAAAAAUAUUAAACCACACCUGCUACCCCAUCACAAACAACCCGUAAUAAAUAAUUAAUUAGUUUUAUAGGAGACAGUUCGUGUCAAGCUGUCCUUAUCAUCAGCAUGGGGUCAAGGUCUGGAAAAGCUAUGAACUGGACAAACACAAAGACUAAUAAUUGUACAUGACAUAUGUGAUGACUGACCUCGUUUUGAUUUGACUUUUGAAGAUGUCUCAAUUAUGACCAUUUCAUCAAAUUUACGAGUUUUAUUUAUUGAUCAUUUAUUUCUAAUUCCUGCUUCCUCGUCGCAAUUGCCUGUGAAGCAGCGUCAGCAAUAACAAGAGUGUGAUUGGUAUUGGAAUAGUUUUUAUAGUUAUAAUUUGAAAAAAAUUAUUUUAUAAAAAAUAGUUAAUGUUAGUUUGGAAAAAUAGGUGUUUGAUUUACUCUGUGGUUGAAAUUAAGGUUGAAGAAAAAAUAGUUUAAUGUGUUUGGUUAAAAAAAUGAUUUUCAAAUUGAGGUUAUAAAAUAAUUAAAAUAUAUAUAUAUAUAUUAAUAUUAAUGAUUUUUAAUUUAAAUAUUAUAAAUUUAACUACUGUUAUUACAUCAUAAAAUAAAUAAUAUUAAUAUCAAAUUUUUUUAUUAUUCCAUUAAACUAUGUGCAAUGUCAUCACAUACGAAAUCUAUCCAAUAAGGACUAUAUUUUUCAUGGUUUCUUAAGUGCGCAACAACAAAAACUGAAUCUUUUGUUACAUCAUCAAGCGAUCUCCUUCUAAUUUUUUGAAUAGAACACAAUUAAAAUAAAAAUAAAAACUGAAUUUUUUUUACUGGGCCGGACCCGGCAAUAACAUAAUUGGAAUUGCGAUCAAAUUUCACAAAUGCUACGUCAUUAUGCGAUAUCUUUCUAAUUUAUGUAGUGUUAUUUAAUAAUAUUAAGUACUAGUUUUUCGAGUAAAACACAAUUUUUUUAAAAAAACCAACAAUUUCAUUAUGUACAAAAUUCAUUCGACAAUAACUACAGUUAUCAUGAUUUAUCAUGCGUGCAAUAAAAUUAAGUAAAAUAUUAUCAGAAAUAAAAUUAAGAUUACAGUACGAAUAAAUUUAAUUUACCUUAAACUAUUUUUUAAAAAAACAAAAAAAUAUAUUUUUCACGUUCACGUGGACAAUACGAGUGCAAUUAAUUAACUGUACUAUUUUUUCAGGAAAAAAAUAAACUUUGCGCACUAGUUUUUUUUUUUUUUAAAAAAAAUUGUUCACUUAGUGAACAGUGCGCAGUGGAGCAUGACUCCACUAUUAAUGUUUGUUUAUCAGCAUGAGAAGCAGCAAAAUGCUACUUCUCAAAACCUGCGAUGCAGACAUAAAUACUAGUGGGCCCUAUCAACAAAACACGCUGCUUUUUCUUUAACCAAACACUAGGUAGUGUGGUUGCGGGUGAACCUCACCCGCAGCCACACUACCAAACGACCACUAAGUUGCUAGGAAAAAAAAUCACCUCAAUGAAAUCAUUCAUAAAUUAUUAAUUAAACCAGAUUUUUAAAACAACUAAGCUUUAAGAUCUGUUUUUUUUUUUUAAAUCAGGUUUAAAUUUAAAUAUAAAUUAAAUGAUUUUUUCAAAGAUAAAUAAAACUGAAUCUAUUUAAAUUAAAACAGAUUAAUAAUAAUUAAUAAAUCUAAGUAUUAGAUCAAACAACAAAUUGCAAACUGAAAAAAAUAAAAUAGACAUGCAUUCAAAGCAACAUAAAUAUGAUAUCUAGUCUUGUGCAGAUCAUAACAUAUAUCAAGCUUUUGAUAAUUUGAUAAUAUUUAAUCGGAGGAUCUUUUCACCUUUAUUUUUAGGCAAAUAUACAUUUAUAUUUAUUCAUGUUUUGAUAAUGUUAUUAUCACUUUUCAAAAAUUUAUCAAAAAAUUUCUUGAUAUAAUGAGAUUGAGAGAAUGCCAAACUAUUAGAUGUUAUAGAGAUUUUUAUUCUUAGUAUGAUAUUUACAAUAUCCAAGUCUUUCAUGUCAAACUUACUAAUUAAUAUUUGUUUGGUGGACAUGAUUAUAUAUUCGUUGUUUCCUAAAUUUAACAUACCAUUCAUAUAAAGAUAUACAAUAACAUAUUAUUUAUCUAUGUUUUUUUAUAUAAAGAUAUUUAUCAACCUUGUAGAUUUUAAAUUUAUUUGAUAGCAUAAUACUGUCAGUCUUUUUUUAUAUCAUUGUUUAAGAGCUUGUUUCAAACUAUAUAAUGAAUUGACAACCUUAUAAUUUUCUUUCUUUUUCUUAAAUAACAAACAUUUUGAUAUUUUUCAUAUGACAUCUUCAUCAAGGUCACCAUUUAGAAAAAAAAAAUAUUUUUACAUUUAUUUUAUAUAUUCUAAGCUUGCUAAUAUUUAUGAUGGUUGUUAACAUCCAUUUGAAAGUUAUUAUUGACACAUGUUAAUAUCUAUCAAAAUAGUCUAUACUUUUUUGUUGUUUUAUUCUUUUUAAUGGUUCUAUAACUUUUAUUUUUCACUUGAAGAUCUAUUUAUGGUCUAAUGGUUUUUUUUUUUUAGUAGAAGAUCCACUAGUUUUUAUGUAUAUUUUUGCAUGAUAGAAUCAAUCUUGUUAUUGACUACCUGCCCCUUCCAAUAGGAAGCUUUAGAGCAGGUCAUUACCUUAGAGUAGUUUUGAGACUCAUUUUUUAACAAGUAAAUUAAAAAAUCAAAAAGAAUAUUUUUGAUAGUUUUUUUCUUUUUACUCUAUCUUAGCUCAAUUCAUCAUAUUUUUAUUUGAUGAUGAUCACUUGAACUUGUCUCACUUGUUUUUUUAAGUGAUAAAUUUCUAUUGCCUUCUUAUAAGAAAAUAUUUUUUCAAAGAAUGCAACAUUUUUUAAUUGUAUUAUUGUAUUGAAAUGAAUAUUCUUAAUACUUGAUUUUUAUACAAGAAAUCGAUACACACUACUAGUGUAAGCAUAUCCAAUGAAUGCACAAUUUAUAAUUUUAGAUCAUGUCUUGACAUUUUUAUGUUUAGUUAUUGCUAUUUUUGUAAAACACUCUCGUACUUUAAGUUACUUUAUGAAGAUCUUUUUUAUUUUCAUAACUUAUAUGGUUUCUUUUUAACUUUUUAAAAUGUACUUUAUUAAGUAUAUAAUUAACAAUAAAAGUUGUCUUCUCUUAUAAGUUUGAAGUAGUUUCCAAACUUAUUAACAUGAUAUUCAUUAUUUUCUUUUAAAAUUUAUUUUUUAUAUCCAACAAUGCUAUUUUGUUGAAGUAAAUAAGUAGUAGUAAUUUUAUGUAUAGUUUUUAAACCUGACCCAGUCCAAGACUCGGGUUCAGGGUUUUGACCGGGUCACUGGGUCAAUUCUAAUUUUUUUAAAAAAUCAAAACGACGUUGUUUUAGUAAAAAAAAAUUAAAAGUCAACGGGUUGCAAUCAAGAUUUUGAUCGGUUCUUGCCAGGUCAAAGUUAGCUGGGUCAUCCCGGGUUUUGACUUUUUUUAUUUUUUCUUAAACCCGGCCCGGUUCCAUUCACGGUUUAGCCGGGUCCCGGGUCAACCCGUCAGGCCGGGCUAGAUUUCAAAACUAUAGUUUUAUGGAUGUUGCCAUUUUUGAAAUAAAAAUUCACCAAAAGAUGUAUUUUAUUCUUUAUCUUUAUUGCUUUUUAUUACCUUUAUUUUUUUGUAAAAUUGAUUUUCAACUUUACUUUUAUAACUUUAAACAUUACAAGAGUCUUGUUAAAACAAGUUCUCGAUUCAACUAAUUACCUAACUUGUUUAAAAUUAAACAAUAAAAAGAAAUUUAUC